AUCAGGUAGGGAUACCCGCUGAACUUAAGCAUAUCAAUAAGCGGAGGAAAAGAAACCAACAGGGAUUGCCCUAGUAACGGCGAGUGAAGCGGCAACAGCUCAAAUUUGAAAGCUGGCCUUCGGGUCCGCAUUGUAAUUUGUAGAGGAUGCUUUGGGUAAAACGCCAGUCUAAGUUCCUUGGAACAGGACGUCAUAGAGGGUGAGAAUCCCGUAUGUGACUGGAAAUGUUAACCUAUGUAAAGCUCCUUCGACGAGUCGAGUUGUUUGGGAAUGCAGCUCUAAAUGGGAGGUAAAUUUCUUCUAAAGCUAAAUAUUGGCGAGAGACCGAUAGCGCACAAGUAGAGUGAUCGAAAGAUGAAAAGCACUUUGGAAAGAGAGUUAAAAAGCACGUGAAAUUGUUGAAAGGGAAGCGCUUGCAAUCAGACUUGUUUAAACUGUUCGGCCGGUCUUCUGACCGGUUUACUCAGUUUGGACAGGCCAGCAUCAGUUUCGGCGGCCGGAUAAAGGCUCUGGGAAUGUGGCCUUCACUUCGGUGAAGGUGUUAUAGCCCAGGGUGUAAUACGGCCAGCCGGGACUGAGGUCCGCGCUUCGGCUAGGAUGCUGGCGUAAUGGUUGUAAGCGACCCGUCUUGUAACACGGACCAAGGAGUCUAAC
rnacentral:rRNA from 1 species